UUUUCGCAAUGCCCGAAAGGGUGACGAAGCGACGCCGCGUGGGUGAGGAAGGCCUUCGGGUUGUAAAGCCCUGUCAGGAGUUAUGAAAUGUAAGUGCGCUAAUAUCGUGCUUAUUUGACAAAGGCUCCAAAGGAAGCCACGGCUAACUCUGUGCCAGCAGCCGCGGUAAUACAGAGGUGGCGAGUGUUGUUCGGAAUUAUUGGGCGUAAAGAGCACGUAGGUGGGUUUGCAAGUCAGAUGUGAAAGCCUUCUGUUCAACGGAAGAAUUGCAUCUGAAACUGCUAAUCUUGAGUAUAGGAGGGGAGAAUGGAACUUCUGGUGGAGCGGUGAAAUGCGUAGAUGUCAGAAGGAACGCCGGCGGCGAAAGCGAUUCUCUGGCCUAUUACUGACACUCAGUGUGCGAAAGCUAGGGGAGCAAACGGGAUUAGAUACCCCGGUAGUCCUAGCCGUAAACGGUGGGCACUAAGUAGAGGGGUU
rnacentral:rRNA from 1 species